AACCGAACCGGAGUGCCAACCAACGGCACAACAGGCACACACACACACAACACACAACACACACACAACACCCGCUCCUCCUCCUCCUCCUCCCCUGGGUUGCACCGCCGGGCUGGGAGUUCGCCUGUUGGCGGUGGUGGUGGUGGUGUUGUUGCUCUUUGGUUGUUGUUGGUUGGAGUGACAAUAAACCAGCGUUAAUGCGGCCCCAAUCGCAACAGGCGGCGGCAACAACCGACCGACCUCCAACCACCGAACCAGCCAAACCAAGCAAGUGACCACUGGCAUGACAACAGGCACAUGCACACACAACACAACACAACGCACAACACAACACAACACACACACAACACCCGCUCCUCCUCCUCCUCCUCCCCCCGGUGGCACCGCCGGGCUGGGAGUUCGCCUGUUGGCGGUGGUGGUGGUGGUGGUGUUGCUGUUGUUGUUGGUUGGAGUGACAAUAAACCAGCAUUAAUGUGGCCCCGCUCGCAACAGGCGGCGGCAACAACCGACCGACCUCCAACCACCGAACCAGCCGAACCGAGCGAGUGACCACCGGCAUGACAACAGGCACACGCACACACAACACAACACAACACAACGCACACACGCAACACCCGCUCCUCCUCCUCCUCCUCCCCUGGGUGGCACUGCCGGGCUGGGAGUUCGCCUGUUGGUGGUGGUGGUGGUGUUGUUGCGGUUGUUGUUGGUUGGAGCGACAAUAGAACAGUGUUAACGCGGCUCAACAGUCGGCAGCAACAACCGACCAACCUCCAACCACCAAACCAGCCAAACCGAGCGAGUGACCACCGGCAUGACAACAGGCGCACACACACACAACACACACACAACACACACACAACACACACACAACACCCGCUCCUCCUCCUCCUCCCCUGGGUGGCACCGCCGGGCUGGGAGUUCGCCUGUUGGCAGUGGUGGUGGUGGUGGUGUUGCUUUUGUUGCUGUGGUUGCUGUGGUUGUUGUUGGUUGGACUCCAACCACCAAACCGGACUCCACUCCAAACCGGAGUGCCAACCAAUGGCAAGACAACAGGCACACACACACACACAACACAACACAACACACACACACAACACCCGCUCCUCCUCCUCCUCCUCCCCCGGGUGGCACCGCUGGGCUGGGAGUUCGCCUGUUGGCGGCGGCGGUGGUGGUGGUGGUGGUGGUGUUGUGGUUGUUGUUGGUUGGAGUGACAAUAAACCAGCGUUAACACGGCCCCACUUGCAACAGGCGGCGGCAACAACCGACUGACCUCCAACCACCACCAACCACUGAACUGAACUGGAGUGCCAACCAACGGCACAACAGGCACACACACACACAACACACAACACACACACAACACA
rnacentral:lncRNA from 1 species